AAUCACUGUACUGCCUUGAUGAAAGUACAUUUGAACCCUUUCCAUCUGACAACUGAGCAAAA
rnacentral:snoRNA from 1 species